UACGAAGGGGGCUAGCGUUGCUCGGAAUCACUGGGCGUAAAGGGUGCGUAGGCGGGUCUUUUAAAUCAGGGGUGAAAUCCUGGAGCUCAACUCCAGAACUGCCUUUGAUACUGAAGAUCUUGAGUUCGGGAGAGGUGAGUGGAACUGCGAGUGUAGAGGUGAAAUUCGUAGAUAUUCGCAAGAACACCAGUGGCGAAGGCGGCUCACUGGCCCGAUACUGACGCUGAGGCACGAAAAGCGUGGGGAGCAAACAGG
rnacentral:rRNA from 1 species